GUUCUAGGCUUUAGACUGGUCAUCGAUGCUACAGAAAACUGCCUCUUGUCUUUUGGAUCAACUGUUCGAUAAGCAUACUUUUUGAUCACCUGGGUCUUUUCGAUACCAUUAGGAUGAGCUAUUGGUUUUGAUUGGGUAGUUCAGUUUUGUAGUAUGGUGUACCCAUUAGUUGUUGCUUGAACUUUGGAUUAAGUUAUGAUACUUCAGAAGCAAACAUAUGUUCAAUAUAGUACCUGCUGAUAGACUAACACCAGAGGCAUUUCUUAUGCCACUUGCCAAUUGAUUCCUUAGCUAGUGCAAUUGCUGAACGUUUUUGUUUUUGCCAAGCUUAUUACUUCAUUUCUGAACCAAUUGUGCAUUUAUACUAUAUCUAAAUUUGUCCUAUCUAUAAAUGUUAGAUAAUGGGCUCUAGAAAUGAGAUUAUGGAAUGGAAUCUAGGAAGGAGAAAAUCAAGAACUUCAUGCAAAUGGAAGAAGAAGAUGAACUAUUUUUUUGUAAUCAUUCAUGGAACUUCAGUUAUGAGAAAGGUCUUGCAGAUAUCCUUCAUGAGCACAAUCAUGAAAAGUUCAGAGGCCAAAAUGGAUGGCUAGCUGAAGGAUGGAAAAGCAUUGUCAAGAUGUUCGAUGAGAAAUUUCCAUCAGCUGGAUUUACAAAACAGCAUAUACAAGAAAAGAAAAAAGAACUCAAAGGAAACUACAAGGCAAUUCGUGAUGCAAGGAAGCAAAGUGGUACAUGAUGGAAUGACUCUUUGUGCAUGAUCAAUGCUGAACCACAAAUAUGGGAAAAACUUAUCAAUGACUUUCCAAAGGUGAGAAAAUUUUGCUCAAAGCCUUUCCAUCUGUUCGACAACUUGGAAAGAUUGUAUGAAGGGCCUCAAUUAGAUAUCCUCUGAACUCUAAGCAUUUUCACUUUAUGAAACAUGAAGUAUUGCUAAAGGAGAUUUGAAUUUCACAUCAACUGAGCCAACUAAACAACCACCAUCUUCAAGAACUGAACAUGUCAUCCCUAUUGACAAUGAUGCUUCUGUUGUUGACCUGAACCCUUUCUUUGCAAAUCUAGAUGGGCAAGAGGAAUCAAAUAGUCACUGAACAAACAGCUUCUGCUUGUUCUGGAUAGAAAGUAGAUGUCCCUGGGAAAAAGAGGAAGCAAAGUCAGGUUGCCGGAGUUCUACAAGACUACCUGGAUUUCAGGAAGAAGCAAACUAAAAUUGUUGUGGAUGAACUCGAUGAAACAAAAAGGUUAAAUGACAAUUAUUCCAUCAAGAACUGUCUUGCUGUUCUGGAAUCAAUUGAAGAACUUUCAGAUGAGAAAAUGGCAAAAGCAACCCAAGGGUGAGCUGAACAAAUAUCUUCAAGUGUGAGCUGAAAUUAGAAAUUUUCAUCAACUUCAAGAACCCAAGGGUUCAUUUACUGUGGGUUAAGGGUGAGAUUGGUCCUAAGGUAUGCACUUUGAUCUUAUCAUUAUCAUUGGCACUUGCUGGAAGGCAUGAUUGAAUUCAAAAUUCGGAAUAUAUAUACAGAGCUGUAAGAUGGCAUCCUUUUCCCUUGUCUUGAGUAAUAAUAAUCUUGUGGUUCUUGUGCAAGGAGACAUUUGUGGCCUGUGAGAUCCCCACCUUCAUGAAUCAGCCUUGUCUAUAUGUUGUCCAGAUGUCUAGACCAUCAAUUAUUGUCAAGCUCACUUUGGGGUUGCUCCGGUGCAUCAUCCACUUGGCAAUCAACAUUUUUUAAUUGAGUAAAUUUCGUAAAACUGCAUAUACUUUGAUAAAAUGAUUGCAAAACCACAAAUUUAAAUAAUAGUUUUACAAAACUACAAAUUUACUGUUGAUUUUAUCGCAAACUACAUAUAGUUUGGUAAAAUUAUCGCAAAACUGUAAAUUUAAGCAAUAAUUUCACAAAACUAUAGGUUUAGCGUCGAUUUUAUCGCAAAACUAUAUAUUCUAGAGGAGCUAUUUUCAGCUCUGUUAUCAUGAUGACCGGGCCUUGCUUGCAAUCUCACAACAGCUGUCAGCUCAUGA